rnacentral:rRNA from 1 species
UACGUAGGGUGCAAGCGUUGUCCGGAAUUAUUGGGCGUAAAGAGCUCGUAGGCGGUCUGUCGCGUCGGCUGUGAAAACCCGAGGCUCAACCUCGGGCCUGCAGUCGAUACGGGCAGACUAGAGUUCGGUAGGGGAGACUGGAAUUCCUGGUGUAGCGGUGAAAUGCGCAGAUAUCAGGAGGAACACCGGUGGCGAAGGCGGUUCUCUGGGCAUUACCUGACGCUGAGGAGCGAAAGUGUGGGGAGCGAACAGG